CAUAAUAAUUCAUAGCUUCUGCUGUCCCUUGCUACCUACCUGAUUGCAACAUCUGCUUAUGGGCUCAAAAUAAAGGGAUGGAGAAAAAUCGACCAAGCAAAUGGAAAACAGAAAAGAGCAACUUGCUUCCUGAAAAUUCAUGAUCAAAUUCCUGCCUGAGGGAGCAGAUGAUUUGAACAGUGCUGACUGAAUCUGCAUGACAUGGACCCUCCAGACCAUCUGAAAAGACUCCACACUCUGUGUUAUAUUUCCCACCUGCAUGUUUUCUCUCGUCCUCCCCACCUGCCCAUCUUCUCUUUCCCUGCCUCUGCCACCUCCUCUUUCUUCUUCCUCUUCUGAACAUUUCUA